rnacentral:lncRNA from 1 species
ACCUUGCAAGAAUUCACUGUUUUUCCUUCUUUGCAACCAUCUACAACAAGGGAUGGUGAACUUUCUAUAAAGGGAAAGACAGUAAAUAUUUUAGGCCUUGAUUUCAUGUGGUUACUAACCGAACUACUAUACUUUCUUUGAGUACUUCCAGUGUGUUUCCAAGAGCUUUAACAAUAAUAACACCUAACAUACAGAUGUUUGCCAGUUUGUCAUUUAGAAUGGUGAGAAAAUAUAUCUUGUUUUAUAUAUGAACAAAUUGAAGCUCAUAGACUUUCAGUGACCUGCCAGUGAUCAGAGGUUCAGCUAGUCAUGGAUCUACUGGUAACUUCCCAUUGACUCGGUAGCUUUGGUUCUGAAUGUAUUUCUGGGUAGAGCAAUAGAGGGGAUCCCUCUUGGUUCUGUCUUUGAAGAUUUGAUGCUGUGAAUUUGGACCUGGCCUGGCAGCAGAUCUUAAAGUGACCCCUGCUUUUGAAGUUAAGGAUCUCUAGCACUUCCUGGUGCUGCCCCAUUAAAUGCAAGAAUAUGGCAUCUAUUCAUUUUCCUUCUUUGCUCUUGGAUGGCACGUGACAAGGACUUCCUGGCAUCACAUCUAAUUAUACUAUUUUUAAAUUUUCCCUUCACGCCCCAUCACUGGCAAAUGUUUUUCAAAAAGAGCAGAUAGUGCAGAGUUCCCAUAAACCUCUGUACUACUUUCCACUCACCACCCUACCAGUUUCCCCUGUUAUUAACAUCUUGCCUCAGUGUGGUUCAUUUGCUACCUCUGGUGAACCUACACUGAUACAUUAUCAUUUACUGAAGCCCAUAGUUUAUACUAGGCUUCAGUCUUAGUGUUGUAUGUUCUAUGGAUUUUGACAAAUAAAUAAUAUUAUGUAUCCACAGUUACAAUAUCUUACAGAAUACUUUCACUACCCUAAACAUCCCUUGCGUCCCACCUAUUCAUCUCACUCUCCCUCCCCCUGAAAACCUCCCCUCCCCUGGC